rnacentral:rRNA from 1 species
UGGGGAAUCUUGGACAAUGGGGGCAACCCUGAUCCAGCCAUGCCGCGUGAGUGAUGAAGGCCUUAGGGUCGUAAAGCUCUUUCGCCUGUGAAGAUAAUGACGGUAGCAGGUAAAGAAACCCCGGCUAACUCCGUGCCAGCAGCCGCGGUAAUACGGAGGGGGUUAGCGUUGUUCGGAAUUACUGGGCGUAAAGCGCACGUAGGCGGACCAGAAAGUUGGGGGUGAAAUCCCGGGGGCUCAACCCCGGAACUGCCUCCAAAACUAUUGGUCUAGAGUUCGAGAGAGGUGAGUGGAAUUCCAAGUGUAGAGGUGAAAUUCGUAGAUAUUUGGAGGAACACCAGUGGCGAAGGCGGCUCACUGGCUCGAUACUGACGCUGAGGUGCGAAAGUGUGGGGAGCAAACAGGAUUAGAUACCCUGGUAGUCCACACCGUAAAACGAUGAAUGCCAGUCGUCGGGUAGCAUGCUAUUCGGUGACACACCUAACGGAUUAAGCAUUCCGCCUGGGGAGUA